rnacentral:lncRNA from 1 species
CCCAAGACAACUUAAAGUGUUUGUGGACAACCACUAUCAAAACUUGUAGAGAUGGAAAACCUUUCUUCCUAAAGAGUUCAGCAUACUCCAGAUCUGUUUGACCGCUUUAAGGAGGCCUCGUAUAUGCAAGCAGAGCUAAGGGACAAGGACCAGAAUCUUGGGGUAAGAUGGUGGACAAGCACCUCACCAGCUUCUGUGGGAGCACCUGUCACAUCAUGCAAUCUUCAGGAACACCUCCAGUUUGUCAACAGUCUGGUCUCAGCCCAGGACUGAGCAAGAAGGUGCUUCAUUUAAUGAGAAUGACUUCACUCAGAAAAAGACAGAAGAACAGAUUGCAACACCAGGAGGGAAAAGAGCUGUCAGUUAUAACACAGGAGGUUCUUCAUAACUCAGAAGAUGGCUGCAACAACCCUGACCCCAUGAGGAUUUCAGUGCUGCACAAGCACUCUGCUCUGUUGGUGGCAUGUUCCACCCCAGAGAUGGCUGGCUGUAAUCCUUUACAGGUGAGAAGAUCCAUCCAGUCUCAAUAUUACACCCUUGUCAAUAAACCAAGGCAAGCAAUGAAAGAAAAAGUUCUGAGUGAAUUGGAAUGGGUUGUAGGUGGAGAAAUUGAGAGAAGGAGUUUCGAUAAAAUGAAGACGGAUUAAUCUGAGGCUGUCAUUCUGUUCUAUUUUCAGAAUUAAUUCAUUUAAUUUAAGAAGGAGAUUGUUUUUUAAACAAAACAAGAUCUAAUUUUGAAAAAAAAAAAAUCUACA